rnacentral:rRNA from 1 species
AGCGAACGCUGGCGGCAGGCCUAACACAUGCAAGUCGAACGAAGUCUUCGGACUUAGUGGCGGACGGGUGAGUAACACGUGGGAACGUGCCUUUAGGUUCGGAAUAACUCAGGGAAACUUGUGCUAAUACCGAAUGUGCCCUUCGGGGGAAAGAUUUAUCGCCUUUAGAGCGGCCCGCGUCUGAUUAGCUAGUUGGUGAGGUAACGGCUCACCAAGGCGACGAUCAGUAGCUGGUCUGAGAGGAUGACCAGCCACACUGGGACUGAGACGCGGCCCAGACUCCUACGGGAGGCAGCAGUGGGGAAUCUUGCGCAAUGGGCGAAAGCCUGACGCAGCCAUGCCGCGUGAAUGAUGAAGGUCUUAGGAUUGUAAAAUUCUUUCACCGGGGACGAUAAUGACGGUACCCGGAGAAGAAGCCCCGGCUAACUUCGUGCCAGCCGCCGCGGUAACAC